CCCUUAGACGUUCUGGGCCGCACGCGCGCUACACUGACCAGUGCAACAAGCAUCCGUCCUUGGCCGACAGGCCCGGGCAAUCUUUGAACGCUGGUCGUGAUGGGGAUAGACUUUUGCAAUUUUUGGUCUUCAACGAGGAAUUCCUAGUAAACGCAAGUCAUCAACUUGCAUUGAUUACGUCCCUGCCCUUUGUACACACCGCCCGUCGCACCUACCGAUUGAAUGCUCGGGUGAGCCAUUCGGACUUUCAUCAUGCUGGUUUCCAGUUUUGAUGAAGGAAAGUCUUGCGAACCUUAUCAUUUAGAGGAAGGAGAAGUCGUAACA
rnacentral:rRNA from 1 species